ACUGAGAAUACAGCUAAAACCAGCCUAAGCUGAUCAGUUGUUUUGGCUAGUCUCCCAAACUGGUUUUUAAGUGGUUUUGACCACUCUCACGCUGGUCUUAGCUGGGUUUUAGCUGGUUUUUACUGAAUCCACUGUUUUUAGCUGGUUUUUGCCAGAUUCGCAUAGAAACAUGCUAACAACAUGCUAGUUACUCACUAAUCAGACUAGAAACAUACUUCUAACAAGUUUUAAAGUGGUUUUGGCCACUGUCACGCUGGCCUUAGCUGGUUUUAGGUGGUUUUCUUUACUGAAUCAACUGGUUUUAGCUAGAUUAUCAUAGAAACAUGUUAAUACCAUGUUAGUAACUUGUUAAUCAGACUAGAAACAUACUUCUAACAUGGUUUAAAGUGGUUUUGGCCACUGUCAAGCUGGCUUUAGCUGGUCUUAGCUGGUUUAAGGUGGUUUUCUUUACUGAAUCAACUGGUUUUAGCUAGAUUAUCAUAGAAACAUGUUAAUACCAUGUUAGUAACUUGUUAAUCAGACUAGAAACAUACUUCUAACAUGGUUUAAAGUGGUUUUGGCCACUGUCAAGCUGGCUUUAGCUGGUCUUAGCUGGUUUAAGGUGGUUUUCUUUAAUGAAUCAACUGGUUUUAGCUAGAUUAUCAUAAAAACAUAUUAACAACAUGUUAGUAAUUUGCUAAUCAGUCUAGAAACAUACUUCUAACAUGGUUUAAAGUGGUUUUGGCCACUGUCAAGCUGGCUUUAGCUGGUCUUAGCUGGUUUUAGGUGGUUUUCUUUACUGAAUCAACUGGUUUUAGCUAGAUUAUCAUAGAAACAUGUUAACAACAUGUUAGUAACUUGAUAAUCAGACUAGAAACAUACUUCUAACAUGGUUUAAAGUGGUUUUGGCCACUGUCAAGCUGGCUUUAGCUGGUCUUAGCUGGUUUUAGGUGGUUUUCUUUACUGAAUCAACUGGUUUUAGCUAGAUUAUCAUAGAAACAUGUUAAUACCAUGUUAGUAACUUGUUAAUCAGACUAGAAACAUACUUCUAACAUGGUUUAAAGUGGUUUUGGCCACUGUCAAGCUGGCUUUAGCUGGUCUUAGCUGGUUUAAGGUGGUUUUCUUUAAUGAAUCAACUGGUUUUAGCUAGAUUAUCAUAAAAACAUAUUAACAACAUGUUAGUAAUUUGCUAAUCAGUCUAGAAACAUACUUCUAACAUGGUUUAAAGUGGUUUUGGCCACUGUCAAGCUGGCUUUAGCUGGUCUUAGCUGGUUUUAGGUGGUUUUCUUUACUGAAUCAACUGGUUUUAGCUAGAUUAUCAUAGAAACAUGUUAACAACAUGUUAGUAACUUGAUAAUCAGACUAGAAACAUACUUCUAACAUGGUUUAAAGUGGUUUUGGCCACUGUCAAGCUGGCUUUAGCUGGUCUUAGCUGGUUUUAGGUGGUUUUCUUUACUGAAUCAACUGGUUUUAACUAGAUUAUCAUAGAAACAUGUUAAUAACAUGCUAGUAACUUGCUAAUCAGACUAGAAACAUACUUCUAACAUGGUUUAAAGUGGUUUUGGCCACUGUCAAGCUGGUCUUAGCUGGUUUCUAACUGAAUCAACUGGUUUUAGCUCGAUUAUCAUAG